GAGCGAGAAACGUGUUCCAAGUCAUAACUAUAGUUAUAUCAUCUAAUAUAUCAUCUAUUUUUUAUGUAUUAUUUAUUAAAAAUGGAACAAGACAAUCCGAUUGAAUAUAAAAAACGAAACAACCGCGAAAUAAAACGACGUGUAGGUACAUGUAACAUGAAAAGUACCCAGGUGUGUUCAAAACCAAGUUUUUCGAGUUUCGAUCGAAAAAUUGUACGAUUUGAUCGAUCUUCGGGCGACGCACGGUCCAAUGAAUAAAUAAAAAACGUUGUAUAUACAGGGAGUGCUAUAAAACGUGGCUAUAACUUUACGAGAGUGGUCUACGCACAAGAAUGAUAAAAGAAAGUUUCCGCGGAGCGAUUCUUAUAAAACGACAGACGCGAUUACCGUCAAAGUUUCAGGACAUAUGGAAAAAUUAUUCAUACGAAAAAUAUUCGGUUCGGAGAUGAACGUCAUAUGGUGGAAACGACUGUUCCGUGGGUCGAGGCUCUGACGUAUUUAAUAACUACUAACGUUGAAUUCGGGAACUGUUGUGAAAACCGUGUCGAGAACUUAAAAGCUACGAAGAAAGAACAAAGAAAGGUGGUGUCGACGAACAACGAGAAACCUCGCACAGACAACAGCUUGGUACGAUUGUUGAAUCGCAAUCAACUGAAUGCAAACAUCUGAUUCAGUUCAUGGCAUUAGGCAAACGUUGAAGCCAUAAGCUAUAAGCCGUAAGGGAGUCGUCAACUGUGUUCACAAUCUAGAAGUUCCGGGACCGUUGACUACAAACGAUUCGAGAGGGUACAGUCGCGAGUUUCAGAUAUUCUAACAGGGCCAUGUCAAACUCAUUUUCGCCCGAGGACUAAUUUGCACUCUGCUACCAUGUUGCGGACCGCAGACACACAAUUAUUUCACCGGAGUCGAAAGUAACUCAAAGGCCAUUCUUCAGUCGUACCAACACCAGCUAUUACAUGUUCUUAUUAGAAAUAUAAUAUGAAUUACAAAAUGAUACUGUAAAGAAGAAGGAGUUCCAAUUGAAAUGAGCAAACAAAUUUUUUACAAAUGUCAUAAGUGAGUGGAGUAAGACAGAACAUACACUUCCUGAGUCAUAUCGUUUCAAUAACAACACCAGCCAUUACAUAAUCUUAUUAGAAACAUAAUAUGAAUUACAAAAUCGUACUGUAAAGAAAAAGUAGUUCCUAUUGCAAUGAGCAAACAAAUUUUUUACAAAUGUCAUAGAAUCAUGCAUACCAGCUAAUCACUGAUGUUCCAUUACGGUUAUUCCCUCGAGAACAGAGAAGCCAUACCAAAGUUGCAAUAUUUAUAAGUUGUCGCCAACCAUUAAUUAGCAUAGCGCGGCAAACCGC